AAUCUUUAAUGAUGAAAACAUUAUAUUUUACCAGUUAUCCCUGUCAGAUUAUGAUAUGGUGAUUACCCGUUUUCUGAAAUCCAU
rnacentral:snoRNA from 1 species